AGUGGCGCACGGGUGAGUAACACGUAGGUAAUCUACCUUUGGAUGGGGAAUAACAACCGGAAACGGUUGCUAAUACCGCAUAAUGCAGCGGCACCUAAUGGUGACAGUUGUUAAAGCGGGGGAUCGAAAGACCUCGCGUCUAAAGAGGAGCCUGCGGCGGAUUAGCUAGUUGGUAAGGUAAUGGCUUACCAAGGCUACGAUCCGUAACCGGCCUGAGAGGGCGGUCGGUCACACUGACACUGACAUACGGGUCAGACUCCUACGGGAGGCAGCAGUCGGGAAUUUUGGGCAAUGGGCGAAAGCCUGACCCAGCAACGCCGCGUGAAGGAUGAAAUCCCUCGGGAUGUAAACUUCGCAAGAACGGGAAGAAUAAGCGAGAGUAAAUACCUUUCGCGAUGACGGUACCGUUUGUAAGCUCCGGCUAACUCCGUGCCAGCAGCCGCGGUAAUACGGGGGGAGCAAGCGUUGUUCGGAUUUACUGGGCGUAAAGGGCGCGUAGGCGGCCUCCGCAAGUCAGUUGUGAAAUCUCCGAGCUUAACUCGGAAAGGUCAACUGAUACUGUGCGGCUAGAGUGCAGAAGGGGCAACUGGAAUUCUUGGUGUAGCGGUGAAAUGCGUAGAUAUCAAGAGGAACACCUGCGGCGAAGGCGGGUUGCUGGGCUGACACUGACGCUGAGGCGCGAAAGCUAGGGGAGCGAACGGGAUUAGAUACCCCGGUAGUCCUAGCCUUAAACGAUGAAUGCUUGGUGUCUGGGGCUAUAAAGUCCCCGGGUGCCGUCGCUAACGCUUUAAGCAUUCCGCCU
rnacentral:rRNA from 1 species